AGCUCGAGUUUCUCUUCAUUAUCGCAUAAAUCUUUCACCUUUACUAAAGAUUUCCGUGGAGGGGAACUUUUUGCAAGAUACUUGUAUUUUUGGAGGCUCUGAUCACAGCAGAGCU
rnacentral:snRNA from 1 species